UUGAGGUGAACCUGCGGAAGGAUCAUUAA
rnacentral:rRNA from 1 species